UAAACUCAACUAAAAAAUAAAGCCUGCAACAUCUUCUCUCCAAUUCUGUGCGAGCAGUACCACUCACCCACGCUAGGCUGAGACCUCACCUUCUUCACUCACAACCGCAAGACCGAACCUAGCUCCCCUCCCUCGCCUAAACCCUAAGCCAAACCCCAAAAGUGCGAAAGCAAACACGAAGAUCGUUCAAGAACCCCGACCUCUCAACUGCUAUAGCCCGACGAUCCUACUCAUCACAAGCUAUUCGAAUCUCACACAACCGGUCCUCCGCUCCGAUGAGAGUCGACGAACAAGAUUUGGUGGCGAGAAUGGCUCAGCAGUGAUUUGGCUUGAGCUGGUGUCGAAUGACCUUGGAGACCUUGGACCAUCUGUUACAUGAGGUGGCGUGUAACAAGGGAUUAUAUCUGGGCAUUGGGCUUCUGUUAGAGCUUUUUAAUUGGGCCUAAAAAUAGUUGUAAUAA